CCCUUUCUACCCUCGUCGAGCGGAUCAACCUCGGGAAACUGAGGCUAAUCCCGCAUACGACUCUCAGGCUGGAACUGCAGAGAGUUCGAAACGCUCCGGCGCGACAGGAUGUGGCUGCGGCCGAUUAGGUAGACGGUGGGGUAACGGCCCACCGUGCCAGUAAUCGGUACGGGUUGUGAGAGCAAGAGCCCGGAGACGGUAUCUGAGACAAGAUACCGGGCCCUACGGGGCGCAGCAGGCGCGAAACCUUUACACUGCACGCCAGUGCGAUAAGGGGACUCCAAGUGCGAGGGCAUAGCGCCCUCGCUUUUCUGAACCGUAAGGUGGUUCAGGAACAAGUGCUGGGCAAGACCGGUGCCAGCCGCCGCGGUAAUACCGGCAGCACGAGUGAUGGCCGCUGUUAUUGGGCCUAAAGCGUCCGUAGCUGGCCAGGCAAGUCUAUCGGGAAAUCUCCCCGCUCAACGGGGAGGCGUCCGGUGGAAACUGCCUGGCUUGGGACCGGAAGAUCCAGAGGGUACGUCCGGGGUAGGAGUGAAAUCCUGUAAUCCUGGACGGACCACCGGUGGCGAAAGCGCUCUGGAAAGACGGAUCCGACGGUGAGGGACGAAAGCUCGGGUCACGAACCGGAUUAGAUACCCGGGUAGUCCGAGCUGUAAAACGAUGUCUGCUUAGGUGCGCCACAGGCUACGAGCCUGUGGUGUGCCGUAAGGGAAGCCGUGAAGCAGACCGCCUGGGAAGUACGUCCGCAAGGAUGAAACUUAAAGGAAUUGGCGGGGAAGCACUACAACCGGAGGAGCCUGCGGUUUAAUUGGACUCAAAGCCGGACAUCUCACCAGCAUAGACAGUAGGAGUGACGGUCAGUGUGAUGAGCUUACCAGACCUACUGAGAGGAGGUGCAUGGCCGCCGUCAGCUAGAACCGUGAGGCGUCCUGUUAAAUCAGGCAAAGAGCGAGACCCGCAAUCCUAAUUGCCAGCAACACCCUUGUGGUGAUUGGGUACAUUAGGAGAACUACCAGUGCCAAACUGGAGGAAGGAACAGGCAACGGUAGGUCAGUAUGCCCCGAAUGUGCAGAACAACACGCGGGCUACAAUGGUCGAGACAAUGGGAUGCAACCCCGAGAGGGGGCGCUAAUCUCCGAAACUCGAU
rnacentral:rRNA from 1 species